rfam:Synechococcus sp. PCC 7002, complete genome.
AAAUAGAUUUUAUUCAUGCCAGAGACAGCAGGGGCGAUCGCUUAAUAUCCUGCCGAGGUAAAACGCUACAAGACUAAACAAGUUUUUUUCCAAGUUUGCUUGGAAGAAGAGCGUGACCCUGGCAUUGUCGCUGGGGUCUAUUUUUUUGUCCCU